rnacentral:misc_RNA from 1 species
GAAAUGCGAUAAGUAAUGUGAAUUGCAGAAUUCAGUGAAUCAUCGAAUCUUUGAACGCACCUUGCGCCCCUUGGUAUUCCAUGGGGCAUGCCUGUUCGAGCGUCAUUUGUACCCUCAAGCUUUGCUUGGUGUUGGGCGUCUUGUCGGAAUAUCCGACUCGCCUUAAAUACAUUGGCAGCCGGCACUUUGGCCUAGGAGCGCAGCACAUUUUGCGAUCGUAAGCCGUUGUGACAGCAUCCAUAAGAUUUAUUUUACCACGUUUGACCUCGGAUCAGGUAGGGAUACCCGCUGAACUUAAGC